rnacentral:rRNA from 1 species
UACGUAGGGGGCUAGCGUUGUCCGGAAUCAUUGGGCGUAAAGCGCGUGUAGGCGGUCCGGUAAGUCCGCUGUGAAAGUCGGGGGCUCAACCCUCGAAUGCCGGUGGAUACUGUCGGGCUAGAGUGCGGAAGAGGCGAGUGGAAUUCCUGGUGUAGCGGUGGAAUGCGCAGAUAUCAGGAAGAACACCAACGGCGAAGGCAGCUCGCUGGGACGGUACUGACGCUGAGACGCGAAAGCGUGGGGAGCGAACAGG